rnacentral:rRNA from 1 species
AUUGAACGCUGGCGGCAGGCCUAACACAUGCAAGUCGAACGAGUGGCGGACGGGUGAGUAAUGUCUGGGAAACGGCCUGAUGGAGGGGGAUAACUACUGGAAACGGUAGAUAAUACCGCAUAACACAAGAGGUUCCCAGAUGGGAUUAGCUUGUUGGUGGGGUAACGGCUCACCAAGGCGACGAUCCCUAGCCGGUCUGAGAGGGUGACCAGCCACACUGGAACUGGGACACGGUCCCGACUCCUACGGGAGGCAGAGGUGGGGAAUAUUGCACAAUGGGCGCAAGCCUGAUGCAGCCAUGCCGCGGGUAUGAAGAAGGCCUUCGGGUUGUAAAGUACUUUCAGCGGGGAGGCGUUACCCGCAGAAGAAGGACCGGCUAACUCCGUGCCAGCAGCCGCGGUAAUUC